rnacentral:rRNA from 1 species
UACGUAGGUGGCAAGCGUUGUCCGGAAUUAUUGGGCGUAAAGAGCGUGUAGGCGGCCAUACAGGUCAGCUGUGAAAACUCGAGGCUCAACCUCGAGACGUCGGUUGAAACCGUAUGGCUAGAGUCCGGAAGAGGAGAGUGGAAUUCCCGGUGUAGCGGUGAAAUGCGCAGAUAUCGGGAAGAACACCCGUGGCGAAGGCGGCUCUCUGGGACGGUACUGACGCUGAGACGCGAAAGCGUGGGGAGCGAACAGG